rnacentral:ncRNA from 1 species
AGCGAUAAAGCCAAACCCAGGGAAAUCUGGGGGCGGAAAGCCACGGGUCCUCAAAAUCAGGAUUAUUAUUGAGGGGAUAGCCGGGUUGCCGAAA